CGCACAUUGCGCCCGGUGGUAUUCCGCCGGGCAUGCCUGUUCGAGCGUCAUUUAAACCAAUCCAGCUUUAUGCUUGGGUCUUGGGCCUUUCGCCUUUCGGCGGGCCUUAAAAUCAGUGGCGGUGCCGUCUGGCUCUAAGCGUAGUAAUACUCCUCGCUAUAGAUGUUAGGUGGUGUCUAGCCAGUAACCCCUAAUUUUCAAAGGUUGACCUCGGAUCAGGUAGGGAUACCCGCUGAACUUAA
rnacentral:misc_RNA from 1 species